GCCAAGUGGCCCAGUGAUUAGCGCUCUGGCCUUUGGUGUCAGAGGCUUCAGGUUCAAUUCCUGGCAGUGGCA